rnacentral:rRNA from 1 species
CGAGAGGACCGAGUUGGACGUACCACUGGUGUAUCUGUUGUCUUGCCAAGGGCAUAGCAGAGUAGCUAAGUGCGGAUGGGAUAAGUGCUGAAGGCAUAUAAGUACGAAACCCGCCACAAGAUGAGAUUUCUUUUAAGGGUCGUGGGAGAUCACCACGUUGAUAGGUUACAGGUGUAAAGGUGGUAACAUCAUAGCCGAGUAAUACUAAUCACCCGUAGACUUUUCGCG